UAAGUUUCUCAAGUAUCGGAAAAGGCUUGUCCUCCCAGGAACCCAUCUAUGGAUACUUUGGUGUCUUCAAAUCCAGACAGACCUGCAGGUGGACUAAAUCCUUGACUUCAUGAGAGGGAAAUAAUUUUUUGGACUCUUACUGGCCGCCAUCUACCCAAAGAGGAGAUGUCUGAGGAAAAUAUGGGGGAAGAGUCGGGCAGCUCCCCCGUCUCUCCUGUGGACAGCCUGAGCAACAGCGAGGGGGAGCUGGACAGACAGCCGAAGAGAUGUGGGAGGAAGAGGAGACCGAGCAGGAAAAACGGGGAGGACUCAGAUAGCCCGACCCCUGGGAAAAGAGGGAAGAAGUCCAGCAGCAGCAGCCCCCAGUCUUUCGAGGAGCUCCAGUCGCAGCGGGUCAUGGCCAACGUCCGGGAGCGACAGAGGACCCAGUCUCUCAACGAGGCGUUCGCGGCUUUGCGGAAAAUUAUCCCCACUUUGCCCUCGGACAAACUCAGCAAAAUACAGACCCUAAAGCUCGCAGCCAGAUACAUCGACUUCCUCUACCAGGUGCUGCAGAGCGACGAGCUGGACUCCAAAAUGGCAAGUUGUAGUUAUGUGGCUCAUGAGAGGCUGAGCUACGCCUUCUCUGUGUGGAGGAUGGAGGGCGCUUGGUCCAUGUCAACAUCUCACUAGCAUCUGGAGAAAUUAUGCCCUAAAUGGUACGCGUGAUUUUCAGCUAAAAAGGUGACUGCUGAUUCUACUUAUCACAUUCUGACGGGACAAAUCUGGAGUCCAAUGCUGGAUACAUGGGAUCACUCUAUUUAAAACCAAAGACAGAAGCUCUGGGGGGAUCUUUUUUGCAGAGGCCCGUCAGGGACCUGCAGCCGUGUGUUAGCUCCAUACACCCCCCUCCCUCCCUCCCUUAUUCUGGUGUGUUUUCAUGUUGUUGACGACGAAUGUUGAAAAUAUCAUGUGUCUUUUUUUUAUAAAAGAUUUUUUUUUUAAUGCGUGCCUUUGGACUUUUUUCUGUGGGGGUCAAAGUGCAUUAUUGAAGCAGUUGUCUCAGUGUUUGGUGUGAGACUGUCAACUGGUGGUGUAGCUCACAUUAUAGGCUGUGUGGAUCUAACCUGUGCAAAAAAAAAAAAAGUAUUUUCAGAAUACAUUUAUUUAUUUAUUGGUGAAAACGUGGAGGAAUAGAUCCUGUGUCUGAAAUACAAAUACAUUCCUAUUUUUAAUAUCGUUUUUUUUGUAAAUGUUUGUACAUUUUUUGCAUUAAAGAAAAUGUCGAUGAAAA